rnacentral:ncRNA from 2 species
CUCAACUUGUCGGAGUGCCACUUGGCUGAGACCGCAUUGCGGGAUCCGUAGAACCUGAUCAGGCUAAUACCUGCGAAGGGAACAAGAGAAUGUUAUCU